CAGAGUUGCAAAACUCCCUAAACCAUCGCGAACGUACCUUUACUGUUGCUUCGGCGGCACUAUAAACUCUUUAUUAUAGGCUUCUCUGAGUAUUUAUAUAAAUAAGUUA
rnacentral:misc_RNA from 1 species